rnacentral:rRNA from 1 species
AAAGUUAGAGGUUCGAAGGCGAUCAGAUACCGCCCUAGUUCUAACCAUAAACGAUGCCAGCUAGCGAUCCGGCUGUGUUCCUCAAAUGACACGCCGGGCAGCUUCCGGGAAACCAAAGCCUUUGGGUUCCGGGGGAAGUAUGGUUGCAAAGCUGAAACUUGAAGGAAUUGGCGGAAGGGCACCACAAGGAAUGGAGCAUGCGGCUCAAUUUGACUCAACACGGGAAAUCUCACCAGGCCAGGACGCAGGAAGGAUUGACAGAUUGAGAGCUCUUUCUUGAUUCUGCGGGUUGUGGUGCAUGGUCGUUYUUCGACGGUGGAGUGGUUUGUCUGGUUAAUUCCGUUAACGGUCGAGAUUCUAGCCUGCUAAAUAGACGCCCCGGUCCUACACGCCGGGCGGUCUUCUUAGAGGGACAAGUGGCGUAUAGCCGCGCGAAGCAGAGCAAUAACAGGUCUGGAAUGCCCUUAGAUGUCCUGGGCCGCACGCGCGCUACAUUGAAGGGAUCAGCGUGUGCUUUCCCGGCCUGACAAGGCUGGGUAACCCGUUGAACCUCCUUCGUGCUGGGGAUCGGCUUUUGAAACUGUCAGCCGUGAACGAGGAAUUCCUAGUAAGCAUGAGUCACUAGCUCGUGUUGAUUAAGUCCCUGCCCUUUGCACACACCGCCCGUCGCUACUACCGAUGAAUUUUUUAGUGAGGUCUUCGGACUGGCGCCCGGUGUGGUCUUCGGAUCGUGUCGAGGUGCCGGAAAGAUGACCGAACUUGAAUAUU